CACCGUCAACUACAGCGGUUUUUGGAGUGAAAGGGAGUUCUGACGAAGCAUAUCCUCCAUUAGUCAACCACUGUUUUGAAAGGCCGCAGUUCUACGAAGGACCGGCUUUGUAGCAGAUUGUAGGAAUUUUAAGUAAGAUGUCUAGCAAACGUGAACGCAAAUGUAUUCCAGAAGCAGGCAAUAAGGGAAAGAAGAAGAAGGUGGUGGAAAAUGUUGAUCAGGUGCGAAUUGUGCAUAGGUGCGAAAGCAAGUACAUUGUUGAAGUAAACAAUGUACUAAAAGCCACCCACCGUAAACGGAUUCAGGCAACACCAUUUAGAUGGUGUUUGGAGGUGGACAACGCAUUGGAA